rnacentral:rRNA from 1 species
CCUACGGGGUGCAGCAGUGGGGAAUAUUGCACAAUGGGCGCAAGCCUGAUGCAGCCAUGCCGCGUGUGUGAAGAAGGCCUUCGGGUUGUAAAGCACUUUCAGCGGGGAGGAAGGCGUUAAGGUUAAUAACCUUGUCGAUUGACGUUACCCGCAGAAGAAGCACCGGCUAACUCCGUGCCAGCAGCCGCGGUAAUACGGAGGGUGCAAGCGUUAAUCGGAAUUACUGGGCGUAAAGCGCACGCAGGCGGUCUGUCAAGUCGGAUGUGAAAUCCCCGGGCUCAACCUGGGAACUGCAUUCGAAACUGGCAGGCUAGAGUGUUGUAGAGGGGUGUAGAAUUCCAGGUGUAGCGGGGAAAUGCGUAGAGAUCUGGAGGAAUACCGGUGGCGAAGGCGGCCCCCUGGACAAAGACUGACGCUCAGGUGCGAAAGCGUGGGGAGCAAACAGGAUUAGAUACCCUUGGAGUC